UGGGGAAUAUUGGACAAUGGGCGAAAGCCUGAUCCAGCCAUGCCGCGUGUGUGAAGAAGGUCUUCGGAUUGUAAAGCACUUUAAGUUGGGAGGAAGGGCAGUAAGCGAAUACCUUGCUGUUUUGACGUUACCGACAGAAUAAGCACCGGCUAACUCUGUGCCAGCAGCCGCGGUAAUACAGAGGGUGCAAGCGUUAAUCGGAAUUACUGGGCGUAAAGCGCGCGUAGGUGGUUCGUUAAGUUGAAUGUGAAAGCCCCGGGCUCAACCUGGGAACUGCAUCCAAAACUGGCGAGCUAGAGUAGGGCAGAGGGUGGUGGAAUUUCCUGUGUAGCGGUGAAAUGCGUAGAUAUAGGAAGGAACACCAGUGGCGAAGGCGACCACCUGGGCUCAUACUGACACUGAGGUGCGAAAGCGUGGGGAGCAUACAGG
rnacentral:rRNA from 1 species